AGCGUAGACGGAUGGACAAGUCUGAUGUGAAAGGCUGGGGCUCAACCCCGGGACUGCAUUGGAAACUGCCCGUCUUGAGUGCCGGAGAGGUGAGCGGAAUUCCUAGUGUAGCGGUGAAAUGCGUAGAUAUUAGGAGGAACACCAGUGGCGAAGGCGGCUUACUGGACGGUAACUGACGUUGAGGCUCGAAAGCGUGGGGAGCAAACA
rnacentral:rRNA from 1 species